rnacentral:rRNA from 1 species
AGUGAACACUGGCGGUAGGCCUAACACAUGCAAGUCGAACGGCAGCACAGUAAGAGCUUGCUCUUACGGGUGGCGAGUGGCGGACGGGUGAGGAAUACAUCGGAAUCUACUUUUUCGUGGGGGAUAACGUAGGGAAACUUACGCUAAUACCGCAUACGACCUACGGGUGAAAGCAGGGGAUCUUCGGACCUUGCGCGAUUGAAUGAGCCGAUGUCGGAUUAGCUAGUUGGCGGGGUAAAGGCCCACCAAGGCGACGAUCCGUAGCUGGUCUGAGAGGAUGAUCAGCCACACGGGAACUGAGACACGGUCCAGACUCCUACGGGAGGCAGCAGUUGGGAAUAUUAGACAAUGGGCGCAAGCCUUAUCCAGCCAUACCGCGUGGGUGAAGAAGGCCUUCGGGUUGUAAAGCCCUUUUGUUGGGAAAGAAAAGCAGCAGGUUAAUACCCCGCUGUUCUGACGGUACCCAAAGAAUAAGCACCGGCUAACUUCGUG